GGAGAGAUGGCUCAGUGGUUAAGAGCACUGGCUGCUUUUCCAGAGUAACUAACUGGGUUCAAUUCCCAGCACCCCA
rnacentral:tRNA from 1 species